UGGCAGCUGUGUUCUGUGUCGGCAUGGUAUCAGGGUUCUGAGAUUUCUUCUCCUUCCUUCAUCCCCAGGAAGCCCGGCAGCAGCAGCAGCAGCAAAAGCAGCCAAAUACGGAGCAGCUGGUGUGGGAGGCGCAGUGCCCGGAGUUGGCGGCGUCCCUGGUUUGGUGCCCGGUGUCGGUGGUAUCCCUGGUUUGGUGCCCGGUGUCGGUGGCGUCCCUGGUUUGGUGCCCGGAGUCGGCGGCGUUGGAGCUGGAGUCCCAGCAGGAGCAGCAGCAGCUAAAGCAGCAGCUAAAGCAGC